rnacentral:rRNA from 1 species
UCCUGACUGACCGAUAGUGAACCAGUACCGUGAGGGAAAGGCGAAAAGAACCCCGGCGAGGGGAGUGAAAAAGAACCUGAAACCGUGUACGUACAAGCAGUGGGAGCACGCUUAGGCGUGUGACUGCGUACCUUUUGUAUAAUGGGUCAGCGACUUAUAUUCUGUAGCAAGGUUAACCGAAUAGGGGAGCCGAAGGGAAACCGAGUCUUAACUGGGCGUUAAGUUGCAGGGUAUAGACCCGAAACCCGGUGAUCUAGCCAUGGGCAGGUUGAAGGUUGGGUAACACUAACUGGAGGACCGAACCGACUAAUGUUGAAAAAUUAGCGGAUGACUUGUGGCUGGGGGUGAAAGGCCAAUCAAACCGGGAGAUAGCUGGUUCUCCCCGAAAGCUAUUUAGGUAGCGCCUCGUGAAUUCAUCUCCGGGGGUAGAGCACUGUUUCGGCAAGGGGGUCAUCCCGACUUACCAACCCGAUGCAAACUGCGAAUACCGGAGAAUGUUAUCACGGGAGACACACGGCGGGUGCUAACGUCCGUCGUGAAGAGGGAAACAACCCAGACCGCCAGCUAAGGUCCCAAAGUCAUGGUUAAGUGGGAAACGAUGUGGGAAGGCCCAGACAGCCAGGAUGUUGGCUUAGAAGCAGCCAUCAUUUAAAGAAAGCGUAAUAGCUCACUGGUCGAGUCGGCCUGCGCGGAAGAUGUAACGGGGCUAAACCAUGCACCGAAGCUGCGGCAGCGACGCUUAUGCGUUGUUGGGUAGGGGAGCGUUCUGUAAGCCUGCGAAGGUGUGCUGUGAGGCAUGCUGGAGGUAUCAGAAGUGCGAAUGCUGACAUAAGUAACGAUAAAGCGGGUGAAAAGCCCGCUCGCCGGAAGACCAAGGGUUCCUGUCCAACGUUAAUCGGGGCAGGGUGAGUCGACCCCUAAGACGAGGCCGAAAGGCGUAGUCGAUGGGAAACAGGUUAAUAUUCCUGUACUUGGUGUUACUGCGAAGGGGGGACGGAGAAGGCUAUGUUGGCCGGGCGACGGUUGUCCCGGUUUAAGCGUGUAGGCUGGUUUUCCAGGCAAAUCCGGAAAAUCAAGGCUGAGGCGUGAUGACGAGGCACUACGGUGCUGAAGCAACAAAUGCCCUGCUUCCAGGAAAAGCCUCUAAGCAUCAGGUAACAUCAAAUCGUACCCCAAACCGACACAGGUGGUCAGGUAGAGAAUACCAAGGCGCUUGAGAGAACUCGGGUGAAGGAACUAGGCAAAAUGGUGCCGUAACUUCGGGAGAAGGCACGCUGAUAUGUAGGUGAAGUCCCUUGCGGAUGGAGCUGAAAUCAGUC